GGGGACGUAUGGUUUCGACAGCAGGUUGGAGGAUCGGGAGGAGCGGGUCGAGGAUGGGGAAUCCUCGUUAAUCCGGCUCCAAAACAAUAAUCGUCAAUAACGAUUACGCACUCGCUGCUUAAGUAAGCGGCGCGCUCUCUAAAGCUUCCGUCAUCGGGCUCUA
rnacentral:tmRNA from 1 species